rnacentral:tRNA from 1 species
UCCCUGGUGGAUCAGUUAGGACUCGGUGCAUUCACAAUGCAGAGAGCCCAGGUUCAAUCCCUGGUCAGGGAA